rnacentral:rRNA from 1 species
GUCUACAGCCAUGCCACUCUGAACAAGCCUGAUCCCAUAUGAUCUCAGAAGCUACACAGGUUCGGGCCUGGUUAGUACUUGGAUGAGAGACCACCGAGGAAGACGAGGUGCUGUAGGCA